rnacentral:rRNA from 1 species
AUUGAACGCUGGCGGCAUGCUUUACACAUGCAAGUCGAACGGUAACAGGCCUUCGGGUGCUGACGAGUGGCGAACGGGUGAGUAAUGCAUCGGAACGUACCCAGAGGUGGGGGAUAACGCAGCGAAAGCUGUGCUAAUACCGCAUGUGAUCUGAGGAUGAAAGCGGGGGACCGAGCAGCAAUGUUUGGCCUCGCGCCUUUGGAGCGGCCGAUGUCGGGUUAGCUUGUUGGUGGGGUAAAGGCCUACCAAGGCGACGAUCCGUAGCUGGUCUGAGAGGACGACCAGCCACACUGGGACUGAGACACGGCCCAGACUCCUACGGGAGGCAGCAGUGGGGAAUUUUGGACAAUGGGCGCAAGCCUGAUCCAGCAAUGCCGCGUGCGGGAAGAAGGCCUUCGGGUUGUAAACCGCUUUUGGCAGGAACGAAACGGUGUCCGCUAAUACCGGGCGCUAAUGACGGUACCUGCAGAAUAAGCACCGGCUAACUACGUG